rnacentral:sRNA from 1 species
UGACCAUCCUUUCACAAGGAUCAAGGCUACACGGACGGCCGGGUCAAAUGCCGA